rnacentral:rRNA from 1 species
GCUCAAUGAAUUUUAAAUAGCUGCAGUAUCAUGACUGUACAAAGGUAGCAUAAUCAUUUGUCUUUUUAUUAAAGUCUAGUAUGAAUGAUUUAAUGAAAUAAAAUCUGUCUCAAAUUAAAAAUUAAAUUUUAUUAUAAGUUAAAAUUCUUAUAUUUAAUUAAAAGACGAGAAGACCCUAUAGAAUUUAAUAAUAUUAAAUUUUAUUUAUUAUAUAGAUAUUUUUUUAAAUAAUUUUUUUAUUAUUUUGUUGGGGUGACAAAAAAAAUUAAUAAAUUUUUUUAAUAAAUUAACAUUAAUCAAUGAAUAUAAUUUAUCCAUUUUUAAUGAAUACAAAAUAAAUUACCUUAGGGAUAACAGCGUAAUUUUUUUAAAGAGAUCAUAUUGAUAAAAAAGUUUGCGACCUCGAUGUUGAAUUAAGAUACAUUAAUAUUGUAGAAAAUAUUAU